rfam:Hordeum vulgare subsp. vulgare, WGS project CAJW01000000 data, contig: morex_contig_1210310
CCACAGCCAAGGGAACGGGCUUGGCGGAAUCAGCGGGGAAAGAAGACCCUGUUGAGCUUGACUCUAGUCCGACUUUGUGAAAUGACUUGAGAGGUGUAGGAUAAGUGCGAGCCCUUACGGGCGCAAGUGAAAUACCACUACUUUUAACGUUAUUUUACUUAUUCCGUGGGUCGGAAGCGGGGCAUGNCCCCUCCUUUUGGCUCCAAGGCCCGGUUUUAUCGGGCCGAUCCGGGCGGAAGAC